GCCGGAAUAGCUCAGUUGGUAGAGCAGGGGAUUGAAAAUCCUCGUGUCACCAGUUCAAAUACUGGCCGUCGUUUUC
rnacentral:tRNA from 1 species